AUGCCGUGGUGGCGGUAUGCUGCGAUGUACUCCUGGAAUUUCUCCCAAGCUUCUGGAAUGGCUUCAUCUGGGAGCUGUUGAAAUUCAGAGAUCUUACCUCGGAGGGC